UACGUAGGUCGCAAGCGUUGUCCGGAAUCACUGGGCGUAAAGCGCACGUAGGCGGAUGUGUCAGUCAGGGGUGAAAUCCCGGAGCUCAACUUCGGAACUGCCUCUGAUACAGCACGUCGUUGAGUCCGGAAGAGGUGGGUGGAAUUCCUAGUGUAGAGGUGAAAUUCGUAGAUAUUCGCAAGAACACCAGUGGCGAAGGCGGCUCACUGGUCCAUAACUGACGCUGAGGCACGAAAGCGUGGGGAGCAAACAGG
rnacentral:rRNA from 1 species